rnacentral:rRNA from 1 species
GACGAACGCUGGCGGCGUGCUUAACACAUGCAAGUCGAACGGAAAGGCCCUGCUUUUGUGGGGUGCUCGAGUGGCGAACGGGUGAGUAACACGUGAGUAACCUGCCCUUGACUUUGGGUUAACUUCAGGAAACUGGGGCUAAUACCGGAUAGGAGCUCCUGCUGCAUGGUGGGGGUUGGAAAGUUUCGGCGGUUGGGGAUGGACUCGCGGCUUAUCAGCUUGUUGGUGGGGUAGUGGCUUACCAAGGCUUUGACGGGUAGCCGGCCUGAGAGGGUGACCGGCCACAUUGGGACUGAGAUACGGCCCAGACUCCUACGGGAGGCAGCAGUGGGGAAUAUUGCACAAUGGGCGGAAGCCUGAUGCAGCAACGCCGCGUGCGGGAUGACGGCCUUCGGGUUGUAAACCGCUUUCGCCAGUGACGAAGCGUGAGUGACGGUAAUGGGUAAAGAAGCACCGGCUAACUACGUG